rnacentral:rRNA from 1 species
AUUGAACGCUGGCGGCAGGCUUAACACAUGCAAGUCGAACGAGUGGCGGACGUGUGAGUAAUGCUUGGGAAUCUCGCUUAUGUAGGGGAAUAACUACGGGAAACUGUAGCUAAUACCGCUUAGCAUAGGAGGAGCCCAAGUGGGAGUAGGUAGUUGGUGGGGUAAAGGCUCACCAAGCCGGCGAUCUCUAGCUGGUCUGAGAGGAUGACCAGCCACACUGCGACUGAGACACGGCCCAGACUCCUACGGGAGGAAGCAGGGGGGAAUAUGGCGCAAUGGGGGAAACCUGACGGAGCCAUGCCGCGUGAAUGAAGAAGGGCUUCGGGUUGUAAAGUUCUUUAGCUAGCGAGGCGUUAACUACAGAAGAAGCACCGGCUAACUCCGUGCCAGCAGCCGCGGUAAUAC